rnacentral:rRNA from 1 species
AGUGAACGCUGGCGGUAUGCCUAACACAUGCAAGUCGAACGAUAGCACAGUAAGAGCUUGCGCUUACGUGUGUCGAGUGUCGGACCGUGCAGGAAGACUUCGGAAUAUACUUUUUCGUGGGGGAUAACGUAGGGUAACUUACUCUAAUACCGCAUACAACCUACGUGUGAAAGCAGGGGAUCUUCUGACCUUGCGCGAUUGAAUAAGCCGAUGUCGGAUUAGCUAGUUGGCGGGGUAAAGGCCCACCAAGGCGACGAUCCGUAGCUGGUCUGAGAGGAUGAUCCGCCGCAGUGCAACGGAGACACGCUCCAGAAUACUACGGGAGGCACCACCGGGGCAUAUUGGACAAUGGGCGGAAGCCUGAAUCAGACAUAGCGCGUGGGUGAAGAAGGCCUUCGGGUUGUAAAGCAUUUUUGUCGGGAAAGAAAAGCAGCAGGUUACUCGCCCGCUGUACUGCCGGUACCCAAAGAAUAAGCACCGGCUAACCCCGU